AGCUAGUUGGUGGGGUAACGGCCUACCAAGGCGACGAUCGUUAGCUGGUUUGAGAGGACGACCAGCCACACGGGGACCGAGACACGGCCCCGACUCCUACGGGAGGCAGCAGCAAGGAAUCUUGCGCAAUGGGCGAAAGCCUGACGCAGCGACACCGCGUGAAGGAUGAAGGACUUCGGUUCGUAAACCUCUUUUCCCGGGGAAGAAUAAUGACGGUACCCGGGGAAUAAGUCACGGCUAACUACGUGCCAGCAGCCGCGGUAAUACGUAGGUGGCAAGCGUUAUCCGGAUUUAUUGGGCGUAAAGAGGGUGUAGGUGGCUUUUUAAGUUGGAUGUGAAAUCUCCCGGCUCAACCGGGAUGGGUCAUUCAAUACUGAAAGGCUAGAGGGUAACAGAGGGAUAUGGAAUUCCCGGUGUAGUGGUGAAAUGCGUAGAUAUCGGGAGGAACACCAGUGGCGAAAGCGGUAUCCUGGGUUAUUCCUGACACUGAGGCCCUAAAGCGUGGGGAGCAAACAGGAUCAGAUACCCUGGUAGUCCACGCCUUAAACUAUGGACACUAGGUAUGGGGGGUAUCGACCCUCUCCGUGCCGAAGCUAACGCGUUAAGUGUCCCGCCUGGGGAGUACGGUCGCAAGACUAAAACUCAUAAGAAUUGACGGGGGCCCGCACAAGCAGCGGAGCGUGUGGUUUAAUUCGAUGCAACACGAAGAACCUUACCUAGGCUUGACAUGCAAGAAGUAGGAAACCGUAAGGUGGACGACCUGUUAAGUCAGGAGCUUGCACAGGUGCUGCAUGGCUGUCGUCAGCUCGUGCCGUGAGGUGUUGGGUUAAGUCCCGCAACGAGCGCAACCCUCGUUGCUAGUUAAAUUCUCUAGCGAGACUGCCCCGCAAAACGGGGAGGAAGGUGGGGAUGACGUCAAGUCAGCAUGGCCUUUAUGCCUUGGGCUACACACACGCCACAAUGGAUGGUACAACGGGCAGCAAUGGGGCGACCCGGAGCAAAUCCUUAAAACCAUCCUCAGUUCGGAUCGCAGGCUGCAACUCGCCUGCGUGAAGCCGGAGUUGCUAGUAACCGUGAAUCAGCAUGUUACGGUGAAUACGUUCUCGGGCCUUGUACACACCGCCCGUCACGUCAUGAAAGUCGGAUACACCCGAAGCCGAUGGGCUAACUUUUUUAAAGAAGCAGUUGUCUAGGGUGGAGCUGAUAAUUGGGACGAAGUCGUAACAAGGUAGCCGUAGCGGAAGCUGCGGUUG
rnacentral:rRNA from 1 species